rnacentral:ncRNA from 1 species
CAGAUAGAGGUUGCGUGAUUCAACAGUAGCUUUUCGGAUGUGGCAGGCACAGGAGAAGAAGAGGGAAAGGGAAGAACGCCGAAAGAGGAGAGCGCCUGCAGCUUGAGUCUUGGGCAUACGGUCAACAGCCGUAUGACUGUCAUCUGAUACAGGAUGGGGCGCUAUCUGA